GUAGGUGGCAAGCGUUGUCCGGAAUUAUUGGGCGUAAAGCGCGCGCAGGCGGUUCCUUAAGUCUGAUGUGAAAGCCCACGGCUCAACCGUGGAGGGUCAUUGGAAACUGGAGAACUUGAGUACAGAAGAGGAAAGCGGAAUUCCACGUGUAGCGGUGAAAUGCGUAGAGAUGUGGAGGAACACCAGUGGCGAAGGCGGCUUUCUGGUCUGUAACUGACGCUGAGGCGCGAAAGCGUGGGGGAGCAAACAGGAUUAGAUACCCUGGUAGUCCACGCCGUAAACGAUGAGUGCUAAGUGUUAGGGGGUUUCCGCCCCUUAGUGCUGCAGCUAACGCAUUAAGCACUCCCGCCCUGGGAGUACGGCCGCAAGGCUG
rnacentral:rRNA from 1 species